UACGUAGGGAGCAAGCGUUGUUCGGAUUUACUGGGCGUAAAGGGCGCGUAGGCGGCGCGGUAAGUCACUUGUGAAAUCUCUGAGCUUAACUCAGAACGGCCAAGUGAUACUGCAGUGUUAGAGUGCAGAAGGGGCAAUCGGAAUUCUUGGUGUAGCGGUGAAAUGCGUAGAUAUCAAGAGGAACACCUGAGGUGAAGACGGGUUGCUAGGCUGACACUGACGCUGAGGCGCGAAAGCCAGGGGAGCAAACGGG
rnacentral:rRNA from 1 species